rnacentral:rRNA from 1 species
UGGGGAAUAUUGCACAAUGGGCGCAAGCCUGAUGCAGCCAUGCCGCGUGUAUGAAGAAGGCCUUCGGGUUGUAAAGUACUUUCAGCGGGGAGGAAGGGAGUAAAGUUAAUACCUUUGCUCAUUGACGUUACCCGCAGAAGAAGCACCGGCUAACUCCGUGCCAGCAGCCGCGGUAAUACGGAGGGUGCAAGCGUUAACCGGAAUUACUGGGCGUAAAGCGCACGCAGGCGGUUUGUUAAGUCAGAUGUGAAAUCCCCGGGCUCAACCUGGGAACUGCAUCUGAUACUGGCAAGCUUGAGUCUCGUAGAGGGGGGUAGAAUUCCAGGUGUAGCGGUGAAAUGCGUAGAGAUCUGGAGGAAUACCGGUGGCGAAGGCGGCCCCCUGGACGAAGACUGACGCUCAGGUGCGAAAGCGUGGGGAGCAAACAGG